rnacentral:rRNA from 1 species
GACGAACGCUGGCGGCGUGCUUAACACAUGCAAGUCGAACGGAAAGGCCCUGCUUUUGUGGGGUGCUCGAGUGGCGAACGGGUGAGUAACACGUGAGUAACCUGCCCUUGACUUUGGUAUAACUUCAGGAAACUGGGUCUAAUACCGGAUAUGAGCUCCUGCUGCAUGGUGGGUGUUGGAAAGUUUCGGCGGUUGGGGAUGGACUCGCGGCUUAUCAGCUUGUUGGUGGGGUAGUGGCUUACCAAGGCUUUGACGGGUAGCCGGCCUGAGAGGGUGACCGGCGACAUUGGGACUGAGAGACGGCCCAGACGGCUACGGGAGGCAGCAGUGGGGAAGAUUGCACAAUGGGCGGAAGCCGGAUGAAGAAACGAGGCGUGCGGGAUGACGGCCUUCGGGUUGUAAACAGAUUUAGGCUGUGACGAAGCGGGAGUGACGGUAAUGGGUAAAGAAGCACCGGCUAACUACGUG